UUGAACGCUGGCGGCAGGCCUAACACAUGCAAGUCGAGCGGUAGCACAGAGAGCUUGCUCUCGGGUGACGAGCGGCGGACGGGUGAGUAAUGUCUGGGAAACUGCCUGAUGGAGGGGGAUAACUACUGGAAACGGUAGCUAAUACCGCAUAACGUCGCAAGACCAAAGUGGGGGACCUUCGGGCCUCAUGCCAUCAGAUGUGCCCAGAUGGGAUUAGCUAGUAGGUGGGGUAACGGCUCACCUAGGCGACGAUCCCUAGCUGGUCUGAGAGGAUGACCAGCCACACUGGAACUGAGACACGGUCCAGACUCCUACGGGAGGCAGCAGUGGGGAAUAUUGCACAAUGGGCGCAAGCCUGAUGCAGCCAUGCCGCGUGUGUGAAGAAGGCCUUCGGGUUGUAAAGCACUUUCAGCGGGGAGGAAGGCGAUAAGGUUAAUAACCUUGUCGAUUGACGUUACCCGCAGAAGAAGCACCGGCUAACUCCGUGCCAGCAGCCGCGGUAAUACGGAGGGUGCAAGCGUUAAUCGGAAUUACUGGGCGUAAAGCGCACGCAGGCGGUCUGUCAAGUCGGAUGUGAAAUCCCCGGGCUUAACCUGGGAACUGCAUUCGAAACUGGCAGGCUAGAGUCUUGUAGAGGGGGGUAGAAUUCCAGGUGUAGCGGUGAAAUGCGUAGAGAUCUGGAGGAAUACCGGUGGCGAAGGCGGCCCCCUGGACAAAGACUGACGCUCAGGUGCGAAAGCGUGGGGAGCAAACAGGAUUAGAUACCCUGGUAGUCCACGCCGUAAACGAUGUCGAUUUGGAGGUUGUGCCCUUGAGGCGUGGCUUCCGGAGCUAACGCGUUAAAUCGACCGCCUGGGGAGUACGGCCGCAAGGUUAAAACUCAAAUGAAUUGACGGGGGCCCGCACAAGCGGUGGAGCAUGUGGUUUAAUUCGAUGCAACGCGAAGAACCUUACCUGGUCUUGACAUCCACAGAACUUUCCAGAGAUGGAUUGGUGCCUUCGGGAACUGUGAGACAGGUGCUGCAUGGCUGUCGUCAGCUCGUGUUGUGAAAUGUUGGGUUAAGUCCCGCAACGAGCGCAACCCUUAUCCUUUGUUGCCAGCGGUUCGGCCGGGAACUCAAAGGAGACUGCCAGUGAUAAACUGGAGGAAGGUGGGGAUGACGUCAAGUCAUCAUGGCCCUUACGACCAGGGCUACACACGUGCUACAAUGGCAUAUACAAAGAGAAGCGACCUCGCGAGAGCAAGCGGACCUCAUAAAGUAUGUCGUAGUCCGGAUUGGAGUCUGCAACUCGACUCCAUGAAGUCGGAAUCGCUAGUAAUCGUAGAUCAGAAUGCUACGGUGAAUACGUUCCCGGGCCUUGUACACACCGCCCGUCACACCAUGGGAGUGGGUUGCAAAAGAAGUAGGUAGCUUAACCUUCGGGAGGGCGCUUACCACUUUGUGAUUCAUGACUGGGGUG
rnacentral:rRNA from 1 species